GCAUCUGUAGCCUAGUUGGUAAAGGAAGCACUCUUGUAUGUGACUCAGCAUUGCUGAGGUUGUGAGUUCAAAUCUCACCAGGCACA
rfam:Puccinia graminis f. sp. tritici CRL 75-36-700-3 supercont2.13 genomic scaffold, whole genome shotgun sequence.